AUUGAACGCUGGCGGCAGGCCUAACACAUGCAAGUCGAGCGGAUGAAGGGAGCUUGCUCCUGGAUUCAGCGGCGGACGGGUGAGUAAUGCCUAGGAAUCUGCCUGGUAGUGGGGGAUAACGUCCGGAAACGGGCGCUAAUACCGCAUACGUCCUGAGGGUGAAAGUGGGGGAUCUUCGGACCUCACGCUAUCAGAUGAGCCUAGGUCGGAUUAGCUAGUUGGUGGGGUAAAGGCCUACCAAGGCGACGAUCCGUAACUGGUCUGAGAGGAUGAUCAGUCACACUGGAACUGAGACACGGUCCAGACUCCUACGGGAGGCAGCAGUGGGGAAUAUUGGACAAUGGGCGAAAGCCUGAUCCAGCCAUGCCGCGUGUGUGAAGAAGGUCUUCGGAUUGUAAAGCACUUUAAGUAGGGAGGAAGGGCAGUAAGUUAAUACCUUGCUGUUUUGACGUUACCAACAGAAUAAGCACCGGCUAACUUCGUG
rnacentral:rRNA from 1 species